rnacentral:rRNA from 1 species
UACGUAGGGUGCAAGCGUUAAUCGGAAUUACUGGGCGUAAAGCGUGCGCAGGCGGCUUUGCAAAACAGAUGUGAAAUCCCCGGGCUUAACCUGGGAACUGCAUUUGUGACUGCAAGGCUGGAGUGCGGCAGAGGGGGAUGGAAUUCCGCGUGUAGCAGUGAAAUGCGUAGAUAUGCGGAGGAACACCGAUGGCGAAGGCAAUCCCCUGGGCCUGCACUGACGCUCAUGCACGAAAGCGUGGGGAGCAAACAGG